ACCUGUGAAACACAGGUCAAUCAGAAAAUGUAAGCAGCCUGGAUAUUAAGACGUGGUGACUUUAUUCUCUACUCCUAGAGUGUGAAAGCCAGGCCUUUGCUCAGAAGGCAGGGAAGUGGAAUGGUGUCCUCAGGAAACCUUGCUGGCCUGAGGGAAAGUCUUGAGAAUACCAGUAUCAGAGGCUCCACCAUGAAAUGGCCCAGUCAGAUCACCUGACAGUGGAGCUCCCAGUCAGCAAGGCUCGCUCAGGACCUCAGAACUUCUCACCCUCCCUCCCUCCUCACUACCCACAGACAAGCAAGCAUGAACAGGUUCCUGGGAGGACUCUCCUGUGUCAGGCCUGGGACACACUCUGCUCUGCGCAGGGUGGGACCAGCUUGCCUCGCUAAGUGCCCCAUCAGUCUGGCCACACUGCUUGGUUCAGGGUGAGCCUGCGAACUGAGGUGAGUCCAUCAUCUGGAGAGAGUAGAAAGGGAUAUGAUGAGAAGGAUGUUGGUCUCUUUCCUUCUAGAAUCCUGGACCAUGUGAGUCUGAAGCUGUGGUGGCUCCAGGGAGAGUGCCUGGCUGAGAAUGAGGACAGUGGUGUGGAAAUCAGGGCUAAGGGAGAGAGAAAACAGGACAAAUUCUUACUAUCAUUAGUCACCUUCCUGAAUGGAGCCAAGUUUCAUCCUUUGAAUUCCCCGUAGAUGAGCUGAUAACUUCCCUUCCUAAGAUGGUUUGGGUUGCUCCUGACAGUGUCUUCUCUUGUGAGUGGGAAGGGAUAAGGUUGCCAUGUGAGAAUGUGAGGGGUAAAUAGAGACAAUAUUUAGAAGAACACCCUACCAGUCUGAGAACUGUGAGGAGAGGAGCAGCUGGCAGAGGAGACUGAGCAGAAACUGCUGGGUAGAUAGAAAAAAGGAAAGGCAAUGCCAUGACAGUCAUGAGAAGACAGUGAGCCCUCAUCAGUAUUAAAUCUUCCCCAUGUCUAUUGACACCUUGAAAAACCGGCUUUGGUACCAUGGAGCUAACCUUGAAGAUGUUGGUGCGAGUAGUUUUGGUGAAGUGGAACCUGAUGGUCCUGGAGAAUUAUUAACUCAUCCAAGAUUUCUUGGCAGAAAAUAGCAGACAGAUUUGCAUCAUAAUAGAAAAGCAUUAUGUCUUGUCUAUCAGAGGCAUCUGUAAAUCCAGGUACUUCUGGCUCUUUCACUCUGGAUUCGCCAUCCUCGUCGUUACAUCGGGUCCCUAACACACAACGUGACUGCUCAGCAUACCUCUGGGGAAAGCAGCCGUGACGAAGGCCGUUGGGACGCAGGGCUGGGUCACACCACGGGAGCAGGAUCACAGCCAAACUCUCCAAGGACUUGGGCAGGAAAGGCUUCUGCCUGGGGCUUUGCACUUCAGAGAACCCCUCACAGCAGAUACUUCUGUGAAAGACUUGAGGGGCACUUCUGUCACUUGUGAUCUGUGGGGCGCUCGAGGAUGCCUCGGCAGAACCCCUAGUCCUCAACAUCUGCUCCUGGAAGUAACACUUAACAUCCUGGGGGAAAACACUUCACAUCUUCUUUCCUGUAUCUUCCAGACAAAUACUGGCUGCCACUGAAUGCCAUCAAGGUCUGCGGGCUGUGUCACUGACACCACUGAGUGUCACAGAGGAUCUGGGAUAUGGAAACACUUAGGAAACAGAAAAGAUAAAUUAACCAACAUGUUAAAUCCUUCCUCUCACAUAAAAUUAUUGCAUUAGACUCUUAUGUAAUGAAGUAUCCUUUCCCAGGGCUACCAAACACCCAUGUUCUUUCUUUCCUAGUGUUCUAUGUUCAUUGUUGUACAUGUUACUGAUGGAACAUUUUGCAAUAUAUAAAUAGUUUAUAUUUUAUUCUAUUUGUGUACAUAUCUAUAUCUAUAAUACGUAAGUGUAGAUGUAACAUGAGUAGAGCAUAACCUAAAUUUUCAACAUAAUGACUAGACAGUCAUUAAAUACUGGAAUUGCAAAUAAUUUGUUUUGUGCAAGUACUUAAAAAGAUUUUAUUAAUUUUGCAAAAAAUAAAUCAGUUGAGAUUCAUUUAAAUAAUGUACAUUAAAAUUCAUAUUAAUCAUUAUAAUUUUAUUAUGCAUUUUAAUAUUUAUAUACCAUGCAGAAUAUUUUAGAAAGUAACAUUUUUGAAAGCAUAUAAACAAAAUCUUAAUUUACAUUUUUAAUGAAAAUACAGUCUAGUUAAGUUCACUCUGAAUGUAACUGCAUUUUAUUUAUUUAUUAUUUAGGUUGGUGAGAAUGAGUUCAUAUUGAGAUCAGACUAGAAAUAGAAAAUAUAGAAGUAGAGCUCAGAGGGAACUCUACUGAUUAUCUAAACUGAAAAGCAUAGAUAAAUAGAAAAUGUUCAAAGAGGCAGCUUGCUUAAGUUUUUAAAAACUGGAAACAGUAAAAGUGAGACUUAUAUUGAACACAACUCACAAAAAGUUUGCAAACAGGGCAUUACAAAUCCCUUAUUAAAUACAGAUUUAUUAAGUGACCAAACAGUAAAAAUGAACCACAAUUAUUUUCAUUAGAUCCACAAACUUGAAUGAAUCAAAUGAAAUCUCAAAAAUUUUAUAUAAAUGAAGAUAUUACUGUAAGAGAUGUUGAAAAUCACAACAUAAGUGGUAAGCACUAAUAUAAUGAAAAUGAAAUAUUUCAUAAAAGUUUCUUUAAUAAUGUUUAAAUUUGUAAAAUUUUUGAUUCAUUACCAAAUGUGUGUUUUGCAAAUUUUUAUUAAUUUUAUUUGCCAUUCCUCAGCUGAGCAGUUUCUAAAAAUUUACUUAUUUUUAAAUUGAAGUACAGUUGACAUACAAUAUUUUAUUAGCUUAUUAUAUUAUUUUCUGUUGUAUAACAUGAUGAUUCAACAUUUAUGUACAUUAUGAAAUGAUCACGAUAAAUCUAGACACCAACUAUCACUAUAAAAACUAGUUACAAUAUUAUUAACUACAUUCCCUAUGCUGUAUAUUGCAUCUCUGUGUUUCCAAAUUUAAUUAAAAAUAGUCUAAGAACUACAGUGACCUGAUAUGGCAUUACUGUUAAUAGGGCAUAAAUUAUGAGAAAAUCCUGAUGUGAAUACCAUAAUUAGUAUUUUUUCCUGAAAUGAAGGCAAAAGAAAUAAAUUGUAUGGAAUAAUUACAUAAUAAUUAUGAAUUAUGAAGCAUCUUCAUUUUAUUAAUCAGACAUCACCAGUAACCAUUAAAGCACCCACACUUGUAGAAUAAUAAUAAAAUCACAUUUUUGUCAUGUUUUACAGAUCUUAAAAAAUUUUAUUGUUGUUAAGAUAAUUUGUCAAGAUAGGCAAAAUAAACAUUUUAACAGUUCAAUAGCUUGAUUUUGAUGUUAAAGUGUUCAAUUAUAUGAUAUAUGGGGUCUCCAUUUGAACGCUUCCCAUAGACUGCAUAGACUGUUUGGUAGUUAGCAAUGGACUAGAAACCGGUCAGCAGUUAUUAAAUCAGAGCCCGUUAGCUUAACCACAUUGAUUUAACCAUCAUUAAUUUAACCAAGAGAUUCUGGAGAACUACCUGAUAACCGUCCUUAACACUGCACUUGGGAUCAUUUGGAAAGCAAAAAUGCUAGCAAAUUAACCUAAAAGACUCAGCCAAUGUGAAAGAAAUCAGAAAAGAGGGAUGCAUGUUAGAUGAUCUCUAAAUCACCAGCUCACGUUAGAACCUUCAUGAAACAUUGAAUGAAGUUGACAGACUUGUUCCAAUUUUCACCUGGAAAAGGUUUGAGCAAAUUAUUUUUAGAUUAUAUGCAAAUCUGGAGUGGUGAUGAGUUGCUUAUUUAUUUUUGUUAUUAUUUUCUCUUAAAAAAAUGAGUACUGCUAGUAUGUGGAAGCAAUUGCAGUAAAGCAUGCUAGAUAGGACUUAGUGGUAUCAUCUCCUCACUGAAAAAUACCCCAACCUCAUGCUAUCUGUAAUGGUAAUAGAGUAUUCCUUUAGUGUAUAUAAUGGGAAAAAAUUACAGGUGUCAGAAAGGAUAGCCUACACUACUUUUAUAAAGCAUUUCCUUAAAGCUAUAAAUCACCAGAGGUAGCACAAUCUAGUAAAUUUCCUUCUCAUUCCUUUUCUAUUCUUCUGUUUGUAUUUCCCCUCCUCUUUCUCCCUUUUUAUUGUCCUCCUUGUGAGUGUUUAUACAUGUUGUCAUUUUGAGUAAUGCUUCUCAUUAAAAAUGUAAAAAUACCUUUUACAUUUUGAACCUAUUAAACCUGAAAAGUUUGAA